rnacentral:rRNA from 1 species
GACGAACGCUGGCGGCGUGCUUAACACAUGCAAGUCGAACGGAAAGGCCCUGCUUUUGUGGGGUGCUCGAGUGGCGAACGGGUGAGUAACACGUGGGUAACCUGCCCUUGACUUUGGGAUAACUUCAGGAAACUGGGGCUAAUACCGGAUAGGAGCUCCUGCUGCAUGGUGGGGGUUGGAAAGUUUCGGCGGUUGGGGAUGGACUCGCGGCUUAUCAGCUUGUUGGUGGGGUAGUGGCUUACCAAGGCUUUGACGGGUAGCCGGCCUGAGAGGGUGACCGGCCACAUUGGGACUGAGAUACGGCCCAGACUCCUACGGGAGGCAGCAGUGGGGAAUAUUGCACAAUGGGCGGAAGCCUGAUGCAGCAACGCCGCGUGCGGGAUGACGGCCUUCGGGUUGUAAACCGCCUUCGCCUGUGACGAAGCGUGAGUGACGGUAAUGGGUAAAGAAGCACCGGCUAACUACGUG